rnacentral:rRNA from 1 species
AGGCAGCAGUGGGGAAUUUUCCGCAAUGGGCGAAAGCCUGACGGAGCAACGCCGCGUGAGGGAUGAAGGCCUCUGUGCUGUAAACCUCUUUUAUCAAGGAAGAAGAUCUGACGGUACCUGAUGAAUAAGCCACGGCUAAUUCCGUGCCAGCAGCCGCGGUAAUACGGGAGUGGCAAGCGUUAUCCGGAAUUAUUGGGCGUAAAGCGUCCGCAGGCGGCCUUUUAAGUCUGUUGUCAAAGCGUGGAGCUUAACUCCAUUUCAGCAAUGGAAACUGGGAGGCUUGAGUGUGGUAGGGGCAGAGGGAAUUCCCGGUGUAGCGGUGAAAUGCGUAGAUAUCGGGAAGAACACCAGUGGCGAAGGCGCUCUGCUGGGCCAUAACUGACGCUCAUGGACGAAAGCCAGGGGAGCGAAAGGGAUUAGAUACCCCUGUAGUCCUGGCCGUAAACGAUGAACACUAG